rnacentral:lncRNA from 1 species
CAGAAUUUGGAGUACAUUUAAAAUAAGUUGAAAAUUGGAAUAAGCCGUAAAAACAGCAGUCUAAAGUAGCAAAUCUUCAAGGACUUCUUCAAAGCUAAUGGUUGAAAUUCACACCCCAAUUUUAGCCUCCAAAGCUGGCGCCGCCCUCCCUUCACUCAAUGUCCACUCACCUUUUGCAAACCUGCAAAACCAAUUCACAAUUUAAAAAAAAACAGCUUAUCCAAAUAAGCACUUUAAAAACUAGAAAAUAAAGGAUGGGACAAACAGAUUAGCUCUUUACACAACAAACCAAGAAGAACGUUCAAAGAUCACAUUCCAAUAUCCAAACCUACAACCUUAAAUCCAUAAGAUUAAGAAUAUCCAAACCUACAACCUUAAAUCCAUAAGAUUAAUCAUCCCACAAAAUCUGGAGAAAGGAUAGCUUGGCAAGUUAUCUUAUAACCAACAAUGAGCAUAUAUAAACAAGAAAAAAUUAAUUAACAAGACACGUUCUAAAAAACUCAGAGAAAUUGCUAAAAAUAUUUCUCUCUGUUAAAACCACAAACAAAAGAACAAGGCAUAGGUUUUUCGACAGAUUCAACAGGAUAACCAAAUAUUUCUCAACUCAAUCAAAGAUUUUUUCUUUGUUAAACCUAAACCAAAUAGAAGAAACUUUUUUUUCCAGAGAACAAUCAAACAAUAAUCCAUAAAAAGCUCUAAACCCUAAGACAUCAAGCCAAUCAACAACAACACUCAAAGCAAAAAUAAAAGAAAGCAAAAAAUAGAAGAAGAUGGAGAACUUAUCUUAAACCGUGGGGAGCUUCGCCGGAGUUGGAUUUCAAACAAGUAAUUUUUUCCUCCUUCGUUAAAGUCUUUGCAUCAUCAUCAUUUACGCCUCUUCAUACUGGAUGAGAUCUUUCUUUUAAUUUCUUCAAAACUUUGUUGUAGAACUUCAGAUCUUGAAUCUAGGGUUAGGUUUUGGGUGUUUAAGUUUUUGGUUAAGGUUAAGAACGAAUCAAGCUACGUUUGGCCAUAUGAGAAGGAGAGUUUAGGGUUAGUUUUG